UACGGAGGGGGCAAGCGUUAUCCGGAAUUAUUGGGCGUAAAGCGUCCGCAGGUGGCACCUUAAGUCUGCUGUCAAAGACCGGGGCUUAACCCCAGAAAGGCAGUGGAAACUGAAGUGCUAGAGUGCAGUAGGGGUAGAGGGAAUUCCCGGUGUAGCGGUGAAAUGCGUAGAGAUCGGGAAGAACAUCGGUGGCGAAAGCGCUCUGCUGGACUGCAACUGACACUCAGGGACGAAAGCUAGGGGAGCGAAUGGG
rnacentral:rRNA from 1 species